UUUUAACUUGAAGACUCAGCUGCAGGAUAUUUAAACAAAAACAUUUCUCUUCGCCUUCAGGUAAGCAUUUCUACAUAGCUGUGGAAAUACUUAGAGCAGGUUAGCUGAAGCAUACCUGCAGAGGCUGCGCAGACAAAUAACUUGCUUCUGGCACUGGGAACAGAUGUUGGGCUUUAUUGAUCUGGGAGAGAUUCCCUAUACUUACAUUUACAAGCACCGAUGGAACACAAGCAAAAACUGUCAAAAUUGAAGAAACAUAUCAAAGUUUUCCAUGUGUUUUCCAUUAAGAAGAUGAAUUGCAGAGUCGGACUGCACUUCAAGGAAUUUGGAUGCACCGGUUGUGAGCUUGGAAGAAGUGAUGUUUAAGUAUCAACCAGCCCUCAUGGGGCCUCCUUACCUUUUAAUGCUCUAGCACAUGGGAUACCUCCAGGUAGGUCACUGAAGAGAUCGAAGCCUGCUCUCAGGAUGUCCAGGGCAGCAAUCCUAUCUAUUGCUUCACUUUGUCCACACAGGAUCUUGAACUCCACAAAAUCAGUAUCUCAGCAUCUCAAGCUGCCCCCAACCUUUGCUUCCCCACCCAACCCUUCCUUCUUAGUAAAAACAAGGUCAAGAAGCACAUCUCUUCUCGUCACUCCUCCAUUACCUGUGUUGGAAAGUUAUUUUCAACUCAUUGCAGGAACCACCUGGACUACGUGUAUCUGGAUGUGUUUCUUAUCCAGCAAAUAUCAGGAUGAUUAAUAGAUAAGGGAAGAACUGAAGUAAGGAUAAAAUUCUGAAAUUCCAGGCAGAAAUAGGAGAUAUAGAUCACUCCCAUAUUUUACUCCUUACAAGUGAGAAAAUUUUCUCACUUACUGGAAUAAAAAGAGUGGAGGCAGAUAAAAGAUUAACAAGGUCACUGACUACUGAGAGCUGAAUACAGGAGCCUUCUCUCCUUGAGCAGGAAAUCAUUACUUCACUCUUUGUUCUAUAGAAACAAAUAAUGACUGUAGUGGUAAAUGCUGCUUGUGUUUUGAUGGUCACUUGUAGGUGACAAUUGGGAAUGGUGAUGCCAGUCAGUGUUGAACACAAACUGAAAAAGUGUAAA
rnacentral:lncRNA from 1 species